rnacentral:rRNA from 1 species
UGGCGUGCGAAUAUUGGACAAUGGGCGAAAGCCUGAUCCAGCCAUGCCGCGUGUGUGAAGAAGGUCUUCGGAUUGUAAAGCACUUUAAGUUGGGAGGAAGGGCAGUAAGUUAAUACCUUGCUGUUUUGACGUUACCGACAGAAUAAGCACCGGCUAACUUCGUGCCAGCAGCCGCGGUAA